rnacentral:rRNA from 1 species
GACGAACGCUGGCGGCGUGCUUAACACAUGCAAGUCGAACGGAAAGGCCCUGCUUUUGUGGGGUGCUCGAGUGGCGAACGGGUGAGUAACACGUGAGUAACCUGCCCUUGACUUUGGGAUAACUUCAGGAAACUGGGGCUAAUACCGGAUAGGAGCUCCUGCUGCAUGGUGGGGGUUGGAAAGUUUCGGCGGUUGGGGAUGGACUCGCGGCUUAUCAGCUUGUUGGUGGGGUAGUGGCUUACCAAGGCUUUGACGGGUAGCCGGCCUGAGAGGGUGACCGGCCACAUUGGGACUGUGAUACGGCCCAGACUCCUACGGGAGGCAGCAGUGGGGAAUAUUGCACAAUGGGCGGAAGCCUGAUGCAGCAACGCCGCGUGCGGGAUGACGGCCUUCGGGUGGUAAACCGCUUUCGCCUGUGACGAAGCGUGAGUGACGGUAAUGGGUAAAGAAGCACCGGCUAACUACGU